CGGCGGACGGGUGAGUAACACGUAGGCAACCUGCCCUCAAGCUUGGGACAACUACCGGAAACGGUAGCUAAUACCGAAUAGUUGUUUUCUUCUCCUGAAGAAAACUGGAAAGACGGAGCAAUCUGUCACUUGGGGAUGGGCCUGCGGCGCAUUAGCUAGUUGGUGGGGUAACGGCUCACCAAGGCGACGAUGCGUAGCCGACCUGAGAGGGUGAUCGGCCACACUGGGACUGAGACACGGCCCAGACUCCUACGGGGAGGCAGCAGUAGGGAAUCUUCCGCAAUGGGCGAAAGCCUGACGGAGCAAUGCCGCGUGAGUGAUGAAGGUUUUCGGAUCGUAAAGCUCUGUUGCCAGGGAAGAACGCUUGGGAGAGUAACUGCUCUCAAGGUGACGGUACCUGAAAAGAAAGCCCCGGCUAACUACGUGCC
rnacentral:rRNA from 1 species